CAGCAGUAGGGAAUCUUCACAAUGGGCGCAAGCCUGAUGGAGCAACACCGCGUGAGUGAAGAAGGGUUUCGGCUCGUAAAGCUCUGUUGUUAAAGAAGAACACGUAUGAGAGUAACUGUUCAUACGUUGACGGUAUUUAACCAGAAAGUCACGGCUAACUACGUGCCAGCAGCCGCGGUAAUACGUAGGUGGCAAGCGUUAUCCGGAUUUAUUGGGCGUAAAGAGAGUGCAGGCGGUUUUCUAAGUCUGAUGUGAAAGCCUUCGGCUUAACCGGAGAAGUGCAUCGGAAACUGGAUAACUUGAGUGCAGAAGAGGGUAGUGGAACUCCAUGUGUAGCGGUGGAAUGCGUAGAUAUAUGGAAGAACACCAGUGGCGAAGGCGGCUACCUGGUCUGCAACUGACGCUGAGACUCGAAAGCAUGGGUAGCGAACAGGAUUAGAUACCCUGGUAG
rnacentral:rRNA from 1 species